AGUGAACGCUGGCGGCAGGCCUAACACAUGCAAGUCGAGCGAGCGGCGGACGGGGGAGUAAUGUAUGGGGACUGCCCGAUAGAGGGGGAUAACUACUGGAAACGGUAGCUAAUACAGCAUACAAACGGAAAAACCAUAUGGGAUUAGCUAGUUGGUGAGGUAAUGGCUCACCAAGGCGAAGAUCCCUAGAUGGUCUGAGAGGAUGAUCAGCCAAACUGGGACUGAGACACGGCCCAGACUCCUACGGAGGCAGCAGUGGGGAAUAUUUCACAAUGGGCGCAAGCCUGAUGCAGCCAUGCCGCGUGUAUGAAGAAGGCCCUAGGGUUGUAAAGUACUUUCAGUCGGGAGGCGUUACCGACAGAAGAAGCACCAGCUAACUCCGUGCCAGCAGCCGCGGUAAUAC
rnacentral:rRNA from 1 species